CAUUUCAAUAAUUAACUUGUUUCGUGACGUAUAAUAUUUGCAAGAACGUCAUAGAAUUGAAAUUUGUCAGGAUAAAAAAUUAGCGUUACAUCGCAUUAGCAAAAAAGAUGUAAAUGAGGGUUUAUGAAUUCUGUGUUACACUUUUAUAGUAUACUUCAAUAUGGUAAUUUAAUUGUAUAUUGAAUUUUUCAUAUGACAAACUGUCCAUAAUAACUAAAGAGGUUCUAAGCAAUAUAACGUUGGGCAAUAUAAUUUUCAGCGUAGAAGAUUUCGCAUUUUGAUUCUACUUAUACCACAGAAAGACAUGAUAUAUUACAACUUAUAUAUUAUAUAUCAUAUUAAAAAUUAUAAACGUUUUACCUUCAAAGAGCAGUCCCGAGGGUUUUCAAAAUAUCUCUUCAAGAAAUAGAAAGAGCAGGAUAUUCCCAAAAUUACUAUUACAACUACUAAUGUAAAUGAAACUUGAAUUCCUCGGCAAAGAAUAAGGCAUAGUUACCGGUCCCGCGAUACCGGUUCCAUGAACAUUUUGACCGAUUAAUAUAAGCAGUUACUCGGACAAGAUUCGUUGUGGAGGGGAUCAGGCCCGUUCACGGACGCGUAAAAACAGCUUCACAUUCAAGAGAUCUCAGUCAGAACUAGGUGACCCAACUGUGGUUCCAAUCUACCUGAACUACAUACCGUUUCUUGGGAAGAGGAGAGUGAGAAAGGAAGAAAACAGGAGAAGAAGAGGAAGAUAAAAGAAGAAAAAGAAGAAAAGAAGAUACGGAAAGAAAUCUGAGGCUGGGGCAAGAAGCGGUGGAGAAGAUUAAGAAAAGAAGAGGCCUGGAGAAAUUAGUGGAAAGAAAUGCAGGAAGAAAGAGGAAAGGAGCAAGCUUUGGAAAGAAAAAA